AUCAUCAACUAACGGGCAAACCUUUAACUAGCUUUUUUGAAGGCUAUCAUGCAGAACUGAAACUGCAUAAGUGAUGAUGCGUACAUAGAAGCAUUAUGCGCUAUAUAGUGUAGUGAUUAAGCUUUAUACUUUUUUCGCUUGCAUAUGUAAAGAGUAAACAAAUUCAGGCAAACGUCAGUAAGAAUAGCGCUCUUAUUGACGUUU
rnacentral:ncRNA from 1 species